GGAGAGGUGGGUGAGUGGUUGAAAUCACCGCACUCGAAAUGCGGCAGGCUCGAAAGGGUCUCGGGAGUUCGAAUCUCCCCCUCUCCGCCA
rnacentral:tRNA from 1 species